GCCCCAGACUCCUACGGGAGGCAGCAGUGGGGAAUAUUGCACAAUGGGGGAAACCCUGAUGCAGCGACGCCGCGUGAGUGAAGAAGUAUUUCGGUAUGUAAAGCUCUAUCAGCAGGGAAGAAAAUGACGGUACCUGACUAAGAAGCCCCGGCUAACUACGUGCCAGCAGCCGCGGUAAUACGUAGGGGGCAAGCGUUAUCCGGAUUUACUGGGUGUAAAGGGAGCGUAGACGGCAUGGCAAGUCGGCGGUCAAAUCGCGGGGCUCAACCCCGCCCAGCCGUCGGAACUGCCGGGCUAGAGUGGGCGAGAAGUGCGCGGAAUGCGUGGUGUAGCGGUGAAAUGCAUAGAUAUCACGCAGAACUCCGAUUGCGAAGGCAGCGCACCGGCGCCCUACUGACGCUCAGGCACGAAAGCGUGGGUAUCGAACAGGAUUAGAUACCCUAGUA
rnacentral:rRNA from 1 species